GGGGCUGUGGUCCAGUGGCAAGAUACAAGGUUCGGGACCUUGUGACCUGAGUUCGAUCCUCAGCAGCCCCA
rnacentral:tRNA from 1 species